rnacentral:rRNA from 1 species
UACGUAGGGUGCAAGCGUUGUCCGGAAUUAUUGGGCGUAAAGAGCUCGUAGGCGGUCUGUCGCGUCUGCUGUGAAAACUCAGGGCUUAACCCUGAGCUUGCAGUGGGUACGGGCAGACUAGAGUGCGGUAGGGGAGACUGGAAUUCCUGGUGUAGCGGUGAAAUGCGCAGAUAUCAGGAGGAACACCGGUGGCGAAGGCGGGACUCUGGGCCGAUACUGACGCUGAGGAGCGAAAGCGUGGGGAGCGAACAGG